UACGUAGGGGGCAAGCGUUGUCCGGAAUCAUUGGGCGUAAAGCGCGUGUAGGCGGCUCGAUAAGUCUGCUGUGAAAGUUCAGGGCUCAACCCUGAAAUGCCGGUGGAAACUGUCGAGCUAGAGUCCGGAAGAGGCGAGUGGAAUUCCUGGUGUAGCGGUGAAAUGCGCAGAUAUCAGGAGGAACACCAAUGGCGAAGGCAGCUCGCUGGGCCAUUACUGACGCUGAGGAGCGAAAGCGUGGGGAGCGAACAGG
rnacentral:rRNA from 1 species